UUUAUAUUGAGAAAUACUGAAUUAUCAUCCGGUAACUGUACAAGGGGAAUUGAAGGUAAUAUUUCUGGACAGGGCCUUUGUCACUAUAGGUGAGACCAGGUCCAAAUUGUCGCAGACAAAUCUGAUCUUGCUGAUCAUAAAUAAAAAAUAAAACAAAAAUAUGUUCUAGAUACAGCAGUUGAUCUGGUCUAUGAUCUAAUACAGAGAUUGUAAAGUUAGAAAUGAAUUCACAGUUGUCUUCUUGAAUCACCAGUCUUUGCUCCAGUAUUUGUUCUGUUGUCAUUCAGCGAAUCAUGGUUUGCCUUUGGUGAGC
rnacentral:lncRNA from 1 species